AGAGUUUGAUCCUGUUCUCAGAACGAACGUUGGCGGCGUGGAUUAGGCAUGCAAGUCGAACGAGAACCGUAGCAAUACGGGGAAAGUGGCGAAAGGGGCAGUAAUGCAUGGGUAAUCUACCCCGGGGACGUGGAUAGCCAUCCUAACGGGUGGGUAAUACACGGCGAUUCGGCGAUGAGACAUCUUGUUGCCGGGAAAUGAAUUUCGCCUCGGGAGGAGCUCAUGUCGUAUUAGGUAGUUGGCGGGGUAACGGCCCACCAAGCCUCAGAUGCGUAGCGGGUGUGAGAGCACGACCCGCGCCACUGGCACUGAGACACUGGCCAGACACCUACGGGUGGCUGCAGUCGAGGAUCUUCGGCAAUGGGCGCAAGCCUGACCGAGCGACGCCGCGUGUGCGACGAAGGCCUUCGGGUUGUAAAGCACUGUCGAGGGGGAGGAAGACCCGAAAGGGUUUGACCUAUCCCUGGAGGAAGCACGGGCUAAGUUCGUGCCAGCAGCCGCGGUAAGACGAACCGUGCGAACGUUGUUCGGAAUCACUGGGCUUAAAGGGCGCGUAGGCGGGCCGCAAAGUCAGGGGUGAAAUCCUCCAGCUUAACUGGAGAACUGCCUUUGAUACUGGCGGCCUGGAGUAAGGUAGGGGCGUGCGGAACUGAUGGUGGAGCGGUGAAAUGUGUUGAUAUCAUCAGGAACUCCGGUGGCGAAAGCGGCACGCUGGACCUUCACUGACGCUGAGGCGCGAAAGCCAGGGGGAGCAAACGGGAUUAGAUACCCCGGUAGUCCUGGCCCUAAACGA
rnacentral:rRNA from 1 species